rnacentral:rRNA from 1 species
CGGGUGAGUAACACGUAGGUAAUCUACCUUCGGGUGGGGAAUAACGCAGGGAAACUUGCGCUAAUACCGCAUAAUGCAGCGGCACCACAUGGUGACAGUUGUUAAAGCGGGGGAUUUUCGAACCUCGCGCCUGAAGAGGAGCCUGCGGCAGAUUAGCUAGUUGGUAAGGUAACGGCUUACCAAGGCGACGAUCUGUAGCCGGCCUGAGAGGGCGGUCGGCCACACUGACACUGACAUACGGGUCAGACUCCUACGGGAGGCAGCAGUCGGGAAUUUUGGGCAAUGGGCGAAAGCCUGACCCAGCAACGCCGCGUGAAGGAUGAAAUCCCUCGGGAUGUAAACUUCGCAAGAAUAGGAAGAAUGAACGAGUACUAAUACUGCUCGUGAUGACGGUACUAUUUGUAAGCUCCGGCUAACUCCGUGCCAGCAGCCGCGGUAAUACGGGGGGAGCAAGCGUUGUUCGGAUUUACUGGGCGUAAAGGGCGCGUAGGCGGCCAGCACAAGUCAGUUGUGAAAUCUCCGGGCUUAACUCGGAAAGGUCAACUGAUACUGUGCGGCUAGAGUGCGGAAGGGGCAACUGGAAUUCUCGGUGUAGCGGUGAAAUGCGUAGAUAUCGAGAGGAAC